CUGCUUGACCUUCUCUACUCUGAACGAUCCCGCCAAAGAACACUCGAGAGAGAGAGAGAGAGAGACUGUGUGUGAAAAUCAGUGAGCUGAAGAGAUCCAGCGAAGAUGAGUACAAUGAAGUUUUGUCGCGAAUAUGUUUUUUUUUUUUUUUUUUUUUUUUUUAAACUUUUUAUUCAAAUUUAAAGGAACUGACUGAUUACAAGCAUAGAUCACCUACCUUUCCUACCUUUAACCUUGC
rnacentral:lncRNA from 1 species